AUUAUCUUGGCAGAUUAGUGUUUUAAAUUUAGAAUUUAAGUAUGAAAUUUAUGAAUUUCAGAUAAUA
rnacentral:tRNA from 1 species